AAAAUCUUAAAAAAAAAAUCACUGGGCUAAACUGGCUGCAAUCUCUGAUGCUUCUUUCAGCCCCCCUCCACAUCCAGAAUGCCACAUCUGACUUGGCAGAUAUAGUACCCCAGGAUUUGGGAAGACCUCUACCUAAGCCCAGCCCAGGUCAGCCCACAAACUUGGGGAUCCCUCGGGUGGGGAGGCAUUCAGGGCUCAUCACUUGCACACUGAUUCAUGGCCCUCAUGUUUCUUGAGCAUCUACUAUGUGCCAGGCACUGUGCUAGGCACAGAAGGCUGCCCAAAGAAGAGCAGGGGAGGUGCGGUCCUCAUGGAGUGGUAGGACCAGACUCCUGUGCAAAACGAGAACUGUAGGUCCAGCCAGAGAAGUGAAGAGGAGGGACUUCCUGUCUGGGGAAAUUCCGGAGGGCUUCACAGAGGAGCGGGCAUUUGAGCAAGGCUGGGUGGACAUCCCCUAGCAGAGAAGGGGCCACGGCAUGUCAGGCAGAGGCGUGGACAAUGUCUGAGAGGUGGGAACAAGGUGAUAUUUGUUGGGAAAAGUAGCAGAGAGAGGCAAGUGGAGAUGGUUGGAGCGGCAAGGGCCACAAGUACCAGUAAGAUUGGAACCUGAUGUUCCACAGAGGGAGGUCCUAGGAUGACUGCCUAACUUGGGGCCAGAAGGAGGCCUUUUCACAUGCAGAUAAUUCAGUGGGGCAAGACGGUGGCGGGUGGCACCCAGGGCCCUGCAUUUUGAGCAAGGCCCGGCGGGCGUUCGGUGCGCGCGGACGGGUGGAGGAUGGACAGACGGACGGACACUGGGGUCUGAGGCAGCACAGACACAGCUGGCGGGACUCCUGCUCCCAUUUUACAGAUGAAGCUACUGAGUCCCAGCCAGGGGCAGGGGCAGAGGCAAGCGCGGUCCGCCCGCUCGCUCACGGUGGGGAGCUCCCCGCCGCGCCCUCCCCUCCCGGCCUCCUGGACCGCGGUGGCGGCGAUCAGUGCCCGCGUGGGGAGCUGUCAGGCCGAUUGAAAUGUGGGCUCGGCCUAUCUGCCCGCUGGGCAGAUGCUGGCACCGCCACCCGCGCCUUAAAUAUUCAUUCACUUGACAGAACACUAAUUAAACAAAGUAAGGUGCAUUA